ACUGCAGUCUACACCACUGGCUCUCCAGCUGGCAGAUGGCAGAUCAUGGGACUUUUCAGCCUCUAUAAUCAUGUACUUCGUGGUUACUUAUCUACCAGAAUCUAACUGAUGAAGACUCCCUUAUUUACCCUCACUGGAGAAUGAGGAUUAUUCUUGCCUUGAGUUCUUGGACUGCCCCUGAUCUUUCUCCAGAGGCUCUUCAAAGAUGAGGAGACUGUGAUGAUAAGGUUCCUCCUUUCCUGGGACGUAGAAUAUCUUCCAGGCACGUCACUGGCCAUAAACAAGGUAUAACUGACGUUAGCUCACGGUGUUCAGGAUCACCUUCAGCCCAUAAGGGAUAAACCAUCAUCGGUGGAAGGAACAGUAGGAACACCUUCAUAAGUUAGGAAGGAGCAGCUUUUCUGGUAUCCAGG